rnacentral:lncRNA from 1 species
UGUCGUACUGGAAGUGUUUGAUGCAAGGCUUAAUCAGGGCCAAAGUUUUUGGAAAACAAAAAAGUGUGGUUUUGGAAUUGAUGCUAAGACUGGCUGUUGACCAUAUGUCCAGAUUCCAUUCUAAUGUUGGGUGAACAAGAGCAUUCUGGGGGCCUAUGUGUGUGAGUGGGUAAAAUGACGAGCUCACGGAAUAAUUAUUUUGAUUGUCCUGAUUGCAAGCUCGCAUUAUGGGAGUCAUAGAGGCGACAAGUUAGGCUUAUUUAUGUGGAUGCUCUACAAUGACGGUAUACAUGGUUUUGUUAAAUAUUUUUCGGUUUUGUUCCUAGGUUUACCCCAUCCUGUCUCAUUCGGCCUGUUUAAUAUCAUUCUUGUAUACAUGUAUUUGAUUUAGCUAUUCAUACCAUAAUAACGUGCUGUCUUUCCCUUUUAUCAUAUGUUUGUUAUGCUUCUUUUAUUUUGCUUAGAUCUUCACAUUUCAUGUUUGCUCACACCGAACCAUUUCUCCUCCCAUCUACUGCUUUCAAAAUUUAAUUUGGAAAUUACACCUCUUUGGCUACUUCAUUAUUACACCUUAGCCAACAGUAUAACAAUUCAAAGUGCUUGCUUAUUUUUAAGUCUUUUAUGCUUUAUGACUAACUCAUAAUCUGGACAAUCUCUCUACACAUUCCAUUCUACAAAAAUUUCGGCAAGCACAUUGAAGGUGCUUAAAAGUCUCUUGAUAUGCUGCAUCAAUACUUACCUUUUUAAGAACUAAAUCAAAUUAGUGACUUUGAAAACCAGACUGAGGUUGGGCCCAAGAGGCUGUGCCACAACUUCAGGUUUGUGCAAGUAAAGAAACAUUGAGAGAACCAAAAUGUUGGUUUUUGGUUGUUCUUCUUAUUUCUUCUUCUUCUCUUUUUUAUUUUAUUUUAUUUAUUCAUUUGUUUAUUUAUUUAUUUUUUGUGAUGGGCUGUGGGUAGCUGAAACUUUUAAAUCUUGGAGUUGUGUAAUGCAAUUGUCCCAACUCAAAUUGGGGACCGACAUGAAAUUGUGGUGAGUGGAAUUAAGAAUUAACUUGGCCUGGCUCUUUUAGGCCUAUUGGUUGAAGAGGUUAAUUUUUUCUAAGGAGAUACCCACAUAUUGGAGUAAUGUACCGGUGGCACUAAUAUGUCACUCUGCUUGUUGUUACCCAGGUGAGCAGAUUGAACACAUUGCAUGGCAGUGUGUUACAUAGUGGAAAAAGUAGCCAAUUUUUGUGCAAGAGACCGGGCUGUUAUUGUGCCACGACAAGAACACCUUACAUUUUAAGGUAGAAAAUUAUAAAGCCAAGAGUCCUAUAUUGGUUUGGACUCACAUUGGGGAAAUCAUAUAUCACUAGGGGCUGGGAAAUUUCCUUGAGUUGGCUAUUUUGUGCCAAGUGGUUAUUGUCUUAAACCAAAUACUUAUUGAACUAAUCAUAUCUGAUGAUCCCUUGGGACCUUGGGCGUGUUCAGUCUUCUCCAUUACUAUUAUAUAUAUGACGAUGCAGAUAAAUCUUGAAUACCAUUUUUAAGAAGUUACUUGAUAACUAGAAGAGAGUCAAAGGUGUGUUUGGCCCCCAUUCUAGCCAGUGGUUUUUUUUUUUUUUUCCCAAAAUCUCUUUAAUCUACAGGGAACAAUUAAUAAACACUGCAAAAGUUUAACUGCAGUUUCAGACUUCAGGUUGCCCAUUGGACCGUUGGAAAUGGAUUGGACUAAAUUACCCUCACCAAGAUAAGUCCAUUGAUAACACGUCAAUGGCAAUUUUGGAACAUUGGGUGAAUUGUAUGUGGACCACUCCAAGGAAAAGUCAAAAAA